UACAGAGGGGGCAAGCGUUAUUCGGAAUUACUGGGCGUAAAGCGCACGUAGGCGGACUAUUAAGUCAGGGGUGAAAUCCCGGGGCUCAACCCCGGAACUGCCUUUGAUACUGGUAGUCUUGAGUUCGAGAGAGGUGAGUGGAAUUCCGAGUGUAGAGGUGAAAUUCGUAGAUAUUCGGAGGAACACCAGUGGCGAAGGCGGCUCACUGGCUCGAUACUGACGCUGAGGUGCGAAAGCGUGGGGAGCAAACGGG
rnacentral:rRNA from 1 species